rnacentral:lncRNA from 1 species
GCGGACAGAAGGGGCCGGCGGGGAUACAGGGCUUCGAUCCUGGAGCUUCCAGCAAGGUGGAUGGGUUGGGGAUGCACCCUGGGUCGCGGAUCCAUCCGCAGGGAGCCGAUUCCCGGCGACGGCGAGCUGGACUUGGGCCCAGGGGGCGCUAGCUUUGCUCGUUUUCUCUGUAGAACAGAGGAAGCAGCAGGGUAGCACCAUGGAGGACGAAGGCACGUCGUGGAUGGGGCAAGGAGGCGAGCUCGACGCAGAUCUAGGGGGUCUUGGCAUCGCGGAUCCAUUCCCGGCGUCAGGAGCUCGAUUCGGUGGUGGGAACGCCGGUGCACAAGCUGAGUUGAGCGGGGUUGCUGCUCCUGUUGGUCAAGAGAGAGAGAGCUGAGCGGGAGGGAGCAGAAAGAGGAACAUGGGAGGCACGAGAGGGAUAGGAGAGGGUGCAGAGACAGUCUCUGGAGGUGUGACGAGGCCCAAGGGACCACGACGAAGCUCCGGUGGCCAGCGAUGCAUCCAGCCAGAGAAACAGAGAGAGAGAGAAAAACGGGACAGAGAUGGAGAGAGCACGGGGGCAGGAGACGGCGACUUG